rnacentral:rRNA from 1 species
UGGGGAAUUUUGCGCAAUGGGCGAAAGCCUGACGCAGCGACGCCGCGUGAACGAUGACGUCCUUAGGGAUGUAAAGUUCUGUCAAGAGGGAUGAUCAUGACGGUACCUCUAAAGGAAGCCCCGGCUAACUACGUGCCAGCAGCCGCGGUAAUACGUAGGGGGCAAGCGUUAACCGGAUUUAUUGGGCAUAAAGGGCGUGUAGGCGGUUUUAUAAGUCGGAUGUUAAAUCCCUUGGCUUACCCAAGGUUCGCAUCUGAUACUGUAAAACUAGAGAUCAGGAGAGGAAAGCGGAACUCACAGUGUAGCGGUGAAAUGCGUAGAUAUUGUGAGGAACACCAGUUGCGAAGGCGGCUUUCUGGACUGAAUCUGACGCUGAGACGCGAAAGCGUGGGGAGCGAACGGG